rnacentral:lncRNA from 1 species
AUGAAUAAAGCUAAUGGAGGUGAUGGAAUUGCAGUUGAGCUAUUUAAAAUCCUGGAAGAUGAUGCUGUGAAAGUGCUGCACUCAAUAUGCCAGCAAAUUUGGAAAACUCAGCAAUGGCCGCAGGACUGGAAAAAGUCAGUUUUCAUUCCAAUCCCAAAGAAAGGCAAUGUCAAAGAAUGCUCAAACGACUGCACAAUUGCACUCAUCUCACACGCUAGUAAAGUAAUGCUCAAAAUUCUCCAAGCCAGGCUUCAGCAAUACGUGAAUCGUGAACUUCCAGAUGUUCAAGCUGGGUUUAGAAAAGGCAGAAAAACCAGAGAUAAAAUUGCCAACAUCCACUGGAUCAUCAAAAAAGCAAGAGAGUUCCAUAAAAACAUCUAUUUCUGCUUUAUUGACUAUGCCAAAGCCUUUGUGUGGAUCACAAUAAACUGGAAAAUUCUGAAAGAGACAGGAAUACCAGACCACUUGACCUGCCUCUUGAGAAACCUAUAUGCAGGUCAGGAAACAACAGUUAGAACUGGACAUGGAACAACAGACUGGUUCCAAAUAGGAAAAGGAGUACGUCAAGGCUGUAUAUUAUCGCCCUACUUAUUUAACUUCUAUGCAGAGUACAUCAUGAGAAAUGCUGGGGUGGAGGAAGCACAGGCUGGAGACAAGAUUGCUGGAAGAAAUAUCAAUGACCUCAGAUAUGCAGAUGACACCACCCUUAUGGCAGAAAGAGAAGAACUAAAGACCCUCUUGUUGAAAGAGAAGGAGGAGAGUGAAAAAGUUGGCCUAAAGCUCAACAUUCAGAAAACGAAGAUCAUGGCAUCCAGUCCCAUCACUUCAUGGGAAAUAGAUGGGGAAACAGUGGAAACAGUGGCUGACUUUAUUUUUUUGGGCUCCAAAAUCACUGCAGAUGGUGAUUGCAGCCAUGAAAUUAAAAGACCCUUACUCCUUGGAAAGACAAUUAUGACCAACAUAGACAGCAUAUUCAAAAGCAGAGAUAUCACUUUGUCAACAAAGGUCCAUCUAGUCAAGGCUAUGGUUUUUCCUGUGGUCAUGUAUGGAUGUGAGAGUUGGACUGUGAAGAAAGCUGAGCACCAAAGAAUUGAUGCUUUUGAACUGCGGCAUUAG